rnacentral:rRNA from 1 species
GAUGAACGCUGGCGGCGUGCCUAAUACAUGCAAGUCGAGCGAACAGAUGAGGAGCUUGCUCCUCUGACGUUAGCGGCGGACGGGUGAGUAACACGUGGAUAACCUACCUAUAAGACUGGGAUAACUUCGGGAAACCGGAGCUAAUACCGGAUAAUAUAUUGAACCGCAUGGUUCAAUAGUGAAAGACGGUUUUGCUGUCACUUAUAGAUGGAUCCGCGCCGCAUUAGCUAGUUGGUAAGGUAACGGCUUACCAAGGCAACGAUGCGUAGCCGAGCUGAGAGGGUGAUCGGCCACACUGGAACUGAGACACGGUCCAGACUCCUACGGGAGGCAGCAGUAGGGAAUCUUCCGCAAUGGGCGAAAGCCUGACGGAGCAACGCCGCGUGAGUGAUGAAGGUCUUCGGAACGUAAAACUCUGUUAUUAGGGAAGAACAAAUGUGUAAGUAACUAUGCACGUCUUGACGGUACCUAAUCAGAAAGCCACGGCUAACUACGUG